rnacentral:lncRNA from 1 species
AUGAUGGCAAAGUCCGCAGUGACGCCUCUCUGCUGGUUCAACACACACUUACUGAGCUCUAACGCGGGGCGGGGGGGAAGAGGGGGGCUAUCAGAGGCGGCGCUUGCUGCCUCAUUCUUAGAGCAAGCCUGGUUUCACAGCCCCUCCUGCUUCCACAAGGGCUUUUUCCACAGCAACGUGCAGGCCUGUGUCUCCUCUCCUGCCUGUUCACGGGAGCGCAGGAAUCCCACGUGCAGGCCACACCUCCAGGAUUGGAGAUUGCUUUUCAACAUGAGAUUUGGAUGUGGACACAGAUCCAAACUACAUCACCUACCUCAAGAGACAGGGUUUUACCAUACUGGCCAGGCUGGUCUCAAACUCCUGACAUGGUGAUCCUCCCACCUUGGCCUCCCAAAGUGCUGGGAGUACACACGUGAGCCAACUCUGAUUCUUAGGUUCUGGUAACACCAUUUUCUUUCUCUUUCUUUCUUUUUUUUUCUCUCUCUCUUUCCUUCCUUCUUUUCUUUUCUUUCUGCCUCCCAGGUUCAAGCAAUUCUCCUGCCUCAGCCUCCCAAGUAGCUGGGACUACAGGCUAAUUUUUGUAUUUUCAGUAGAGAUAAGGUUUCACCAUGUUGGCCAGGAUGGUCUCAAUCUCUUGACCUCGUGAUCUGCCUGCCUUGGCCUCCCAAAGUGCUGGAAUUACAGGUUUGAGCCACUGCACCCAGCCUUUCUUUCUUUCUUAAAGACAGGGUCUCACUCUGUCACCCAGGCUGGAGUGCUGUGGUGUGAUCACGGGUCACUGCAGCCUCAACAUGUCCAGGUUCAGUUGAUCCUCCUGCCUCAGCCUCCCAAGUAGCUGGGACUACAGCUGUGCACCACCACUCCUGGCUAGUUUUUUUUGUUGUUGUUUUUGUUUUUUAUUUUUAAAAUCUACAACACAGAAAGCUACAAAACAGUGGAAUACCAUCUACAGAAAAUUGGGAGAAAAGAGCUGUUAACUAAAAAUCUUGUACCAGGCUGGGCACGGUGGCUCAUGCCUGUGAUCCCAGCACUUUGGGAGGCUGAGGCGGGUGAAUUACUGGAGGCCAGGAGUUCAACAUCAGCCUGGCCAUCAUGAUGAGCCCUGUCUCUACUAAAAAUACAAAAAUUAGCCAGGCGUGGUGGUGGGCGCCUGUAAUCCCAGCUACUCAUGAGGCUGAGGCAGGAGAAUUACCUGAACCCAGGAGGCAGAGGUUGCAGUGAACCAAGAUCGCGCCACUGUACUCCAGCCUGGGCGACACAGCAAGACUCUGUCUCCAAAAGAAAAAAAAAAUAAGGAUUUAUAUUUAGCCAGUUGCUGUGGCUCAUGGCUGUAAUCCCAGCAAUUUGGGAGGCCGAGGUGGGUGGAUCACCUGAGGUCAGGAGUUCGAGACUGGCCUGGCCAACAGGGUGAAACACCAUCUCUACUCAGGAGGCUGAGGCAGGAGAAUCACUUGAAC